rnacentral:rRNA from 1 species
GGGGAAUAUUGCACAAUGGGGGAAACCCUGAUGCAGCGACGCCGCGUGGAGGAAGAAGGUCUUCGGAUUGUAAACUCCUGUUGUUGAGGAAGAUAAUGACGGUACUCAACAAGGAAGUGACGGCUAACUACGUGCCAGCAGCCGCGGUAAAACGUAGGUCACAAGCGUUGUCCGGAAUUACUGGGUGUAAAGGGAGCGCAGGCGGGAAGACAAGUUGGAAGUGAAAUCCAUGGGCUCAACCCAUGAACUGCUUUCAAAACUGUUUUUCUUGAGUAGUGCAGAGGUAGGCGGAAUUCCCGGUGUAGCGGUGGAAUGCGUAGAUAUCGGGAGGAACACCAGUGGCGAAGGCGGCCUACUGGGCACCAACUGACGCUGAGGCUCGAAAGUGUGGGUAGCAAACAGGAUUAGAUACCCUGGUAGUCCACACCGUAAACGAUGAUUACUAGGUGUUGGAGGAUUGACCCCUUCAGUGCCGCAGUUAACACAAUAAGUAAUCCACCUGGGGAGUACGACCGCAAGGUUGAAACUCAAAGGAAUUGACGGGGGCCCGCACAAGCAGUGGAGUAUGUGGUUUAAUUCGACGCAACGCGAAGAACCUUACCAAGUCUUGACAUCCUGCGACGGACAUAGAAAUAUGUUUUUCCUUCGGGACGCAAAGACAGGUGGUGCAUGGUUGUCGUCAGCUCGUGUCGUGANAUGUUGGGUUAAGUCCCGCAACGAGCGCAACCCUUAUGGUCAGUUACUACGCAAGAGGACUCUGGCCAAACUGCCGUUGACAAAACGGAGGAAGGUGGGG